GGAGGGUGCGAGCGUUAAUCGGAAUUACUGGGCGUAAAGCGCGCGCAGGCGGCUGGGUCAGUCGGAUGUGAAAGCCCCGGGCUUAACCUGGGAAUUGCAUUCGAUACUGCCCGGCUAGAGUAUGGGAGAGGGAAGUGGAAUUUCCGGUGUAGCGGCGAAAUGCGUAGAUAUCGGAAGGAACACCAGUGGCGAAGGCGGCUUCCUGGCCCAAUACUGACGCUCAGGUGCGAAAGCGUGGGGAGCGAACAGGGAUUAGAUACCCUGGUAGUCCACGCUGUAAACGAUGAGAACUAGAUGUUGGGAGGGUUAGCCUCUCAGUGUCGCAGCUAACGCGUUAAGUUCUCGCCUGGGAGUACGACCGCAAGGUUG
rnacentral:rRNA from 1 species